GUUACUUGGAAUUGCGUCUGAAGCAACAUGAGCAUCUUCUCCCCUGUGGCUCCUUUAACUCCAGCGAGGACGCCGAAGAGGCGGGGGUGCCAGACACGGCUGACGUCACGGGCAGCCCGAAAUGACAAAGCGGACGGGCCAAUCCCAAGUUCGGAUUCUGCGAGAAGCCAUCCGAUUGGACACGAGUGCGGGCGCCCUUGCCCAAUGGUGGAAGAGGGGCAGGAGCCCGGCGGCCGCGUGGGUUUUAAAUCCAUGUGGCGGCGAGAGGGCGGCGGUGGCUGCGCCUCGUGGGCUUGAGUUCGCUCCUUGGCUGGGGAGGCGUGCGUGGGGGCCGUCGUCCGCGCCGCUUACGGUCCUGGGCCGGUGGCUCCGCCUCGCCGCGCCUAUUUGCGUCAGCAGGUGCCUUAUAGGGUCUUGCGGGGACCUAAUGGCGUUCAUGCAUUCGACAGAGCUUUACUGAGACUCUGCUCUGUGCCAGGCAGGGCCUGGUGGGAUCAGGGAGAACCCACGAAAGACACGCUGUGAAUGCCACGUUUCUGUCAUCUGAGUGUCUUUGUCCGCUCCCAUGAAGGAAGUCCCCAGCUGGGGCCAGGCAUCGGAAGACCAGCCUCCUCUGGGCUGGCACGAAGGCAGCCCCCGGCUGGAAGACCAGAAAAGUCUGGUGGUGGAUGGCAACUCGCGGUCAGUCAAACUGGAUGCACAUCCCAGCUUCACUGCUUACCAGCCGAGUGAUGCUGGGCAAGUUAUGAAUACCUGCUUCCGCUUCCUCUGCAAAAUGGGGGUAAUAAUAGUUUUCUCUUCCUUGGGUUAUGGGAGGAGUGAGUCGGAUGAUGUAGGCAGGAUGCUUGACACGGAGGAGGUGCUCAUCACAUGGGCUGCUGAUCUUUGGGAGGCAAUUCUUUUAGAGCCACUGUCACUGUAAGUUCUUCCUUAUAUCAAGCUGAGGUCCGCCUGCUUUAUAACUUCCAUGACUUCAUGCUCCUGGCCGCAUAAAUGUGCUUCUCUUUCCACAGAACAGUCCUUCAGAAACUGAGGACCAAGCUGAACAUCACAGCUGCCCAUUCAAGACCUGCUACAUAAUUUGUGGAGCCCAGUGCAAACAAAAAUUGUAGAGCUCCUUGUUCAAAACUUAAGAAUGUCAAGAUGAUGACGGCAGAGCUCAGAGCCCUUCUGAGGGUGAAGUGCCAUGUGACUGCACAUGGCCCACCCCGUGCUCCCACUGGUGGUCCAUGGUCCUGUGUUGUCCUACGGAACCUACGAGGCUGGAUGGGGUCUGCCCAGAGCAGGAGAGAGCCAGGCGAGUAGCCAGCUGGGCCACGCAAAGGGCACCUGCAGGCAUGGUCUGUGUCCAUGCAGCUCGCCUGGGCGGCCUGGCUUGCAGCUCCUAUCCUGCCACCUGCCAUAGAGCUGCCGGCUCUCUGCCCCCUUGCCUUUAUGUUUGUUAUUGUGAUAGAACGUGUAUCUAGAAUAAAGUGCACAAGUCCAAAGUAUGUGGCUGGAUG
rnacentral:lncRNA from 1 species